rnacentral:rRNA from 1 species
CAGCCGCCGCGGUAAUACAAAGGGUGCAAGCGUUAAUCGGAAUUACUGGGCGUAAAGCGUGCGUAGGCGGUGAGUUAAGUCUGCUGUGAAAUCCCCGGGCUCAACCUGGGAAUGGCAGUGGAUACUGGCUCGCUAGAGUGUGUCAGAGGAUGGUGGAAUUCCCGGUGUAGCGGUGAAAUGCGUAGAGAUCGGGAGGAACAUCAGUGGCGAAGGCGGCCAUCUGGGACAACACUGACGCUGAGGCACGAAAGCGUGGGGAGCAAACAGGAUUAGAUACCCGGGUAGUCCCUGUCUCUUAUAC